AACUUCUUCAUCAUAAAAGGAUAAAAAAAAAAAGUAUCAGAAAUCAACCAAUGACUGUUAACUUUUUUCUUGCUAAGCAUUAAUGUUGAGUUAUGAGAUAAAUAUACUUGAUAUCUUGAAUCUCUACUUCAGCACCCAAUCCAUGUGUAUUAUUUCGUUCAACGUGUUUUCUUGAUUCUGGUAGAAAGCAAUCAUAAAAACUUCACUCUUGUUAUCUUUCUGGCAGUAGAGAUUGACUACCCUUUCUGAUCGCAUAUCCUUGUAAAACUCCAUUAAGUUUCUUGACAUCUUUUAAGUUCAUCCAGUGGCGGAGCCAGAAAUAUUGUUGAGCCUGGGCAAAAUAUUUCCAGAAUAUAUAUUAAACAGUUUUAAAAUAAUAGCAAAAUUGUGAAUUGGUGUAGUGGUAUGUUUUGUUAAAACUAACAUGGAGAACCGCGGUUCAAAUCCCUACAGGACCUCUUUUUUUGAAUAAAAAUAUUUUUAAUAUUAUAGAAAAUAAAAAGGUAGUCUUACCAUGGAUCGAACCCACGCCGUAGCGGGGUCUGGUAGCACGCCUAACCACUGCAACACAAUGUAACAUAUGAUAUGUGACGGAUAAUAUGAUAAUUAUAGGUACGUUGAGGACUGCUGUGGCACCUAUAGGUCUCCUACGAGAUCCGGGACAGAGCCCGGGCGUGUGCCCAGGCUAGCUGGGUGGUAAAACCGCCCGAGUUCAUCCUUAUUCUUUUCUUUCCUCUUCUUUAAUCAUUUCAUAAUUCCGAAGUCAUUAUAUUGUGAUUUUAAGUUCCCAAGUCUUGUUUUCUGAAUGAAAUACAUGUUCUUUGCGCAACACCCCUCCCUCUCAUUUCUUUUGUAUCUGAACUGAUU
rnacentral:lncRNA from 1 species